UACGGAGGGUGCAAGCGUUGUCCUGAUUUAUUGGGUUUAAAGGGUGCGUAGGCGGCGUAAUAAGUCCGUGGUGAAAGCCAACAGCUCAACUGUUGAACUGCCAUGGAUACUGUUAGGCUUGAGUACAGACGAGGUAGGCGGAAUGGAUCGUGUAGCGGUGAAAUGCAUAGAUACGAUCCAGAACUCCGAUUGCGAAGGCAGCUUACUAGGCUGUAACUGACGCUGAGGCACGAAAGCGUGGGGAGCGAAC
rnacentral:rRNA from 1 species